GACGAACGCUGGCGGCGUGCUUAACACAUGCAAGUCGAACGGAAAGGCCCUGCUUUUGUGGGAUGCUCGAGUGGCGAACGGGUGAGUAACACGUGAGUAACCUGCCCUUGACUUUGGGAUAACUUCAGGAAACUGGGGCUAAUACCGGAUAGGAGCUCCUGCUGCAUGGUGGGGGUUGGAAAGUUUCGGCGGUUGGGGAUGGACUCGCGGCUUAUCAGCUUGUUGGUGGGGUAGUGGCUUACCAAGGCUUUGACGGGUAGCCGGCCUGAGAGGGUGACCGGCCACCUUGGGCCUGAGAUACGGCCCAGACUCCUACGGGAGGCAGCAGUGGGGAAUAUUGCACAAUGGGCGGAAGCCUGAUGCAGCAACGCCGCGUGCGUGAUGACGGCCUUCGGGUUGUAAACCGCUUUCGCCUGUGACGAAGCGUGAGUGACGGUAAUGGGUAAAGAAGCACCGGCUAACUACGUG
rnacentral:rRNA from 1 species